rnacentral:rRNA from 1 species
UAACCGUGCAAAGGUAGCAUAAUCAAUUGGCUUUUAAUUGAAGUCUGGAAUGAAAGGUUAAAUAAAGAAUUUACUGUCUCUUUUUGAUUUUUUUGAAUUUAUUUAUAAAGUGAAAAUACUUUUUUAAAGAAAAAAGACGAGAAGACCCUUAGAAUUUUUACUUAGUUUUUUUAUUAAAAAUAUUUUUUUGUUGGGGUGACACUGAAACAUAUUUAACUUUCAAGAUUUACAUGACAAAUUUUUUUAAAAGAUCAAAUUACCUAAGGGAUAACAGCAUAAUGAAUUAUUUAGUUUAUGACCUCGAUGUUGGACUAGGAACUAAAAGACUAACAGUCAAAAUAGAAUGUUCUGUUCGAACAAUUUUCCCCUACAUGAUCUG